UUGUAUGUCGCCCAGAUAUGUUCGAAACAUCGCAUUGCUUGUCCCACCCUUACAUUCCUUCUAAAAAAUUAACAGCGGAAUUACCGCCCCACCCUCUCCCACAUUUCUGCCUGCCUCCUUCUCAACCCAAUUUCUUCACUUCCUUUCAGUUCUUUCAUCUCCUUCCUCCCCGUGACCCAUUUUCUUUCUCUCUCUUCAGUUUGGUUUGGUAUCUUCAAUGGACAGAGACAAUAAUCAAACUCUUUCAAGAUACAAAUCACAAGUUCUCUGAAUCCGGGGCUUUACUGUACAUAAUUUGAAAAUUUUCAGUGGGUCAUCAUCAAUGCCUUCUCCUACAGAUAUGGUUUGACUAUGCAAUCCAGGGAUGCAAGGAACUUCGCAGGGACACAGGGCUUACUUGCGUCACAGUACAUGGAGGAGGGUGGGGGGGAAGGAAGGGAGAGAGAUGUUGCUUCGGGGUGUUGUAAAUUGUCGGUAGAGCCACAAAGGGAUGGAACUUGGCAGGGACACGGGGAUCGCGACACUGACUCGAAUUGUUGUUGUAAUGACAGUAGUUAAGCUACAGUGACUGAUUAUGUACUAGACUACUCAAAUUAUGUGUUUAUUGUGCCUCUAAAAUUUAUGGCACUUACAUUGUCAACAUAUUUAAGGUUCUGUACUUCUGUAAAUCCAACUUUAAUAUCUAUUACAUGUAAAUCCAAUUGUAGCAUAACAUUUUUAACAUUUACAAUAUUUCUCGCAUUUACCUUAAAACAUAA